UAAUUGGAACAGUUCAUGACUGGUAUGCAUGUAAUCAACUGAUACAUCAUGGUGAACUUCCCUAUUUGACAUUUAGACAGUUUUCUGAUGAUUUCUGGAUUCUAUUAUCAUGGUUAUCUCAAGUUUAUAAUUGCAUGUCAUAAUUUAGAUUUUGUUGGAAUCAAGAUGAUUCAUAACAUUGAUCUAUAGCAAUAAAGUUGAUUCAUAAUUCACAAAUUGUGAUCUGGGAAUAAUAACGAAAUAAGUGCAUUGCAGAGAUUGAAG
rnacentral:misc_RNA from 1 species